GGUUUCUGUGCAACGUCAUCGCAGAUGUGCGCGCGCAGCCAGGGGGCAGAAAGCGGGACAUUUGUCAUUUGUUUACCAGCGGAGUCAGCGGAGAACGAAAAUGACAAGGAGCUGUUGUGCUGUAAACUGCACGAAUCGGCAAAAGGAUGGAUGGAAACUGUUUAAUAUCCCGAGAGGAUCUCAUCCUUUUGCCAAGAGAAGAAGAAGAUUGUGGCUCCAGGCCAUUAAAAGGGCGGAUUGGCCGUCCCGAAGGUCCUAAAGGCGGCGAGAGUCUGUGCAGCGCCCACUUCGUUUCUGGGUCACCGUCCAUGGAUUGUGAUAGUCCAGAUUUUGUUCCAUCCGUUUUUUCACACAGCAGCAACUGAGACAUCUCGGGAAAGGUGGCAAGAUAUGAAAGAAAGAGAAUAAGAGAUGAAGAUAAGGCCCCUGCUACCUGCCCCACAAGCCAGCCUGAAGCAGAUACUGCAGAUUCUUCUGAAGGUA